UACGUAGGGACCGAGCGUUGUCCGGAAUCAUUGGGCGUAAAGAGCGUGUAGGCGGCCUUUUAAGUCCUGCGUGAAAUCCUGCGGCUCAACCGCAGACGGUCGUGGGAAACUGGAAGGCUAGAGUGCGGGAGAGGAGAGUGGAAUUCCCGGUGUAGCGGUGAAAUGCGCAGAUAUCGGGAAGAACACUCGUGGCGAAGGCGGCUCUCUGGACGGCAACUGACGCUGAGGCACGAAAGCGUGGGGAGCAAACAGG
rnacentral:rRNA from 1 species